rnacentral:snRNA from 1 species
CUCUGGUUUCUCUUCAGAACGAAUAAAUCUUUCGCCUUUUACUAAAGCUUUCCGUGGAGAGGAACAGUUAAGAG